rnacentral:rRNA from 1 species
GAUGAACGCUGGCGGCGUGCCUAAUACAUGCAAGUCGAGCGAACAGACGAGGAGCUUGCUCCUCUGACGUUAGCGGCGGACGGGUGAGUAACACGUGGAUAACCUACCUAUAAGACUGGGAUAACUUCGGGAAACCGGAGCUAAUACCGGAUAAUAUAUUGAACCGCAUGGUUCAAUAGUGAAAGACGGUUUUGCUGUCACUUAUAGAUGGAUCCGCGCCGCAUUAGCUAGUUGGUAAGGUAACGGCUUACCAAGGCAACGAUGCGUAGCCGACCUGAGAGGGUGAUCGGCCACACUGGAACUGAGACACGGUCCAGACUCCUAUGGGAGGCAGCAGUAGGGAAUCUUCCGCAAUGGGCGAAAGCCUGACGGAGCAACGCCGCGUGAGUGAUGAAGGUCUUCGGAUCGUAAAACUCUGUUAUUAGGGAAGAACAAAUGUGUAAGUAACUAUGCACGUCCUGACGGUACCUAAUCAGAAAGCCACGGCUAACUACGUG